CUGGUCUCAAGCUCCUGGCCUCAAGUGAUCCUUCUGCCUUGAUCUCCCAAGGCAGGAUUACAGGAGUGAGUCACCCAGGGAAGGUCUUGAUGCAGGCACACGAUCUCUGCAGCCUAAAGGAGCCAAGGUUGUGGUCGGGACCAUAGGCAUGGCCCCCGCCUUCCUGGAAGAGCCGCCUCCAGAAAGGGCAGAGGCGGGCCCUGGAGCCCAGCUGGGCACACUGCAGCAUAAGUGUACGGAAGUGUGGGCACCACUGGCAGCCCCACGUGGAAGGCUGAGAGCAGGCAAGCUGCGGAUGAGCCAGGGAAGGGUGGCAAGUGGCAGCAUGUCGUUGCCAGUGAGAUGCUGCCGGAGCGGGGGUCAGCUGGCCUCCGUGUAUACACAGGGACACAGACCUGCCCCUCACCCCGGGAAUGCUUAGCAUUCCUCAGAGUAGCUAGCACGGGCCAGGUCUGUCCCAUGAGGACAGAGCAGCUAAGGCCCCUGGAUAUAAGUGCCAGGUGGGGAGGAACAGGAGCGACACCUCGGGGACAGAGGUCAAAGUGCACAAGUUUAUUUUCUAGAACAAAGGCUAAAAGAAGCAAGUUUCUUUCAUUUUAUUUUAAGAAGGACAAAAAUUGUUAUUAAAACAUCUACAUUAUUAUCAAGAUACUAGACCUUAUGAAUAUUUAAUAUUAAAGUGUGGUAUUCUUAAAUUUUUAAUACACAGACAUUUUAAAGGACCAUUAAAUUGAUGGCUGCCCAGCUGAGAAAUGCAGCAUCCCUCCCCACCCACCCCGCCCCCAUGCUUGCCAUGCCACCUUGUCCCUGCCUGCCGGGGAACACAGGUCCCAGACUCAGCCCUCCGAGCCUCCCAGCCAGGGGCCCUAGAAGGCUCACAACAGCAAUAGUUACCCUCAUCAUUAAAAGGGCCUUCUUGUCCCUCCUCCCCAUCAUACUCUGCCUCCCACCCUCUCUUCCUUACCCUGUGGGGGCUCCAGCUCUGGCCAGGCCAGGGAGCCCCAGAUCCCAAGGGUCCCUGGACAGAUCACAGGCUGAAGAUGGAAACUCUGGACUUGAAUCCUGUUCCUUUCAGCGGGGAGACAAAUACAAAUCACCUUCUUUCCCUGAGCACUCCCACUCUCUCCGCAAUCGAUGGGGCUGGUCUGGGACGCUAGCAGAGCCGGGCCUGGGGAGGGUGGCUCCUGCC